UACGUAGGCGGUCCAAUAAGUCAGUGGUGAAAUCCUGCAGCUUAACUGUAGAACUGCCAUUGAUACUGUCGGACUUGAAUACAGAUGAGGUAGGCGGAAUGUGUUGUGUAGCGGUGAAAUGCUUAGAUAUAACACAGAACACCAAUUGCGAAGGCAGCUUACUAGACUGUUAUUGACGCUGAGGUACGAAAGCGUGGGGAGCGAACAGGAUUAGAUACCCUGGUAGUCC
rnacentral:rRNA from 1 species